rnacentral:rRNA from 1 species
CUCCUACGGGAGGCAGCAGUGGGGAAUUUUGCGCAAUGGGGGAAACCCUGACGCAGCAACGCCGCGUGCGGGAUGAAGGCCUUCGGGUCGUAAACCGCUUUCAGCAGGGAAGAACAUCGACGGUACCUGCAGAAGAAGCCCCGGCUAACUACGUGCCAGCAGCCGCGGUAAUACGUAGGGGGCGAGCGUUAUCCGGAUUCAUUGGGCGUAAAGCGCGCGUAGGCGGCCGCCUAAGCGGGACCUCUAACCUUGGGGCUCAACCUCAAGCCGGGUCCCGGACUGGGCGGCUCGAGUUCGGUAGAGGCAGGCGGAAUUCCCGGUGUAGCGGUGGAAUGCGCAGAUAUCGGGAAGAACACCGAUGGCGAAGGCAGCCUGCUGGGCCGCAACUGACGCUGAGGCGCGAAAGCUGGGGGAGCGAACAGGAUUAGAUACCCUGGUAGUCCCAGCCGUAAACGAUGGAUACUAGGUGUGGGGGGAUACUCCCUCCGUCCGCAGCU